rnacentral:rRNA from 1 species
AUACGGGAGGCAGCAGUGGGGAAUUUUCCGCAAUGGGCGCAAGCCUGACGGAGCAAGACCGCGUGGGGGAAGAAGGCUCUUGGGUUGUAAACUCCUUUUCUCUGGGAAGAACAAAAUGACGGUACCAGAGGAAUCAGCAUCGGCUAACUCCGUGCCAGCAGCCGCGGUAAGACGGAGGAUGCAAGCGUUAUCCGGAAUGAUUGGGCGUAAAGCGUCCGCAGGUGGCAGUUCAAGUCUGCUGUCAAAGACCGGGGCUUAACCUCGGAAAGGCAGUGGAAACUGAACAGCUAGAGUAUGGUAGGGGCAAAGGGAAUUCCUGGUGUAGCGGUGAAAUGCGUAGAGAUCAGGAAGAACAUCGGUGGCGAAGGCGCUUUGCUGGACCAUAACUGACACUCAGGGACGAAAGCUAGGGGAGCGAAUGGGAUUAGAUACCCCGGU